GACGAACGCUGGCGGCGUGCCUAAUACAUGCAAGUAGAACGCUGAAGAGAGGAGCUUGCUCUUCUUGGAUGAGUUGCGAACGGGUGAGUAACGCGUAGGUAACCUGCCUUGUAGCGGGGGAUAACUAUUGGAAACGAUAGCUAAUGCCGCAUAACAAUGGAUGACACAUGUCAUUUAUUUGAAAGGGGCAAUUGCUCCACUACAAGAUGGACCUGCGUUGUAUUAGCUAGUAGGUGAGGUAAUGGCUCACCUAGGCGACGAUACAUAGCCGACCUGAGAGGGUGAUCGGCCACACUGGGACUGAGACACGGCCCAGACUCCUACGGGAGGCAGCAGUAGGGAAUCUUCGGCAAUGGGGGCAACCCUGACCGAGCAACGCCGCGUGAGUGAAGAAGGUUUUCGGAUCGUAAAGCUCUGUUGUAAGUCAAGAACGGGUGUGAGAGUGGAAAGUUCACACUGUGACGGUAGCUUACCAGAAAGGGACGGCUAACUACGUG
rnacentral:rRNA from 1 species